CAGUCGCCGCGGUAAUACAGAGGAUGCAAGCGUUAUCCGGAAUGAUUGGGCGUAAAGCGUCUGUAGGUGGCUUUUCAAGUCCGCCGUCAAAUCCCAGGGCUCAACCCUGGACAGGCGGUGGAAACUACCAAGCUGGAGUACGGUAGGGGCAGAGGGAAUUUCCGGUGGAGCGGUGAAAUGCGUAGAGAUGUGGAGGAACACCAGUGGCGAAGGCGACUCUCUGGUCUGUAACUGACGCUGAGGAGCGAAAGCGUGGGGAGCGAACAGGAUUAGAUACCCCUGUAGUCCCUGUCUCUUAUAC
rnacentral:rRNA from 1 species